UGCUCCUUUGACGUUAACGGCGGACGGGUUAAGUAACACGUGGGUAACCCUACCUAUAAGACUUGGAAUAACUCCGGGAAACCGGGGCUAAUGCCGGAUAACAUUUAGAACCGCAUGGUUCUAAAGUGAAAGAUGGUUUUGCUAUCACUUAUAGAUGGACCCGCGCCGUAUUAGCUAGUUGGUAAGGUAAUGGCUUACCAAGGCAACGAUACGUAGCCGACCUGAGAGGGUGAUCGGCCACACUGGAACUGAGACACGGUCCAGACUCCUACGGGAGGCAGCAGUAGGGAAUCUUCCGCAAUGGGCGAAAGCCUGACGGAGCAACGCCGCGUGAGUGAUGAAGGGUUUCGGCUCGUAAAACUCUGUUAUUAGGGAAGAACAAACGUGUAAGUAACUGUGCACGUCUUGACGGUACNUAAUCAGAAAG
rnacentral:rRNA from 1 species